rnacentral:lncRNA from 7 species
CAUUGGAUUCAUUGUUCAUGACGAUGCAAAGAAGAUGGACAAGGGACUGAAGAACCGUUACACGGUUUGAUCCCAGAGAGUAGUAGCAUGUAGGGUGGUUCUUUCCGAUUCCGUAGCACCUUGCAGAGUGUGUUGAAGGUUCUCUAUUUGCUGAGGAGUUGCUUAAGCAUAAUCUAACAUGAUGUCGAAUGUAUUCCUGUAUGUUCCAUAGGUCAGUCACCUAGGUGCCUAGGUGUUGUUUUUGUCUCAGCUUUGUGUGUGUGUGUGUGUG